rnacentral:rRNA from 1 species
AGUGAACGCUGGCGGUAGGCCUAACACAUGCAAGUCGAACGGCAGCACAGUAAGAGCUUGCUCUUACGGGUGGCGAGUGGCGGACGGGUGAGGAAUACAUCGGAAUCUACUUUUUCGUGGGGGAUAACGUAGGGAAACUUACGCUAAUACCGCAUACGACCUACGGGUGAAAGCAGGGGAUCUUCGGACCUUGCGCGAUUGAAUGAGCCGAUGUCGGAUUAGCUAGUUGGCGGGGUAAAGGCCCACCAAGGCGACGAUCCGUAGCUGGUCUGAGAGGAUGAUCAGCCACACUGGAACUGAGACACGGUCCAGACUCCUACGGGAGGCAGCAGUGGGGAAUAUUGGACAAUGGGCGCAAGCCUGAUCCAGCCACACCGCGUGGGUGAAGAAGGCCUUCGGGUUGUAAAGCCCUUUUGUUGGGAAAGAAAGGCAGCAGGUUAAUACCCCGCUGUUCUGACGGUACCCAAAGAAUAAGCACCGGCUAACUUCGUG